UAGGGAAUCUUCGGCAAUGGACGAAAGUCUGACCGAGCAACGCCGCGCGAGUGAAGAAGGUUUUCGGAUCGUAAAACUCUGUUGUUAGAGAAGAACAAGGACGUUAGUAACUGAACGUCCCCUGACGGUAUCUAACCAGAAAGCCACGGCUAACUACGUGCCAGCAGCCGCGGUAAUACGUAGGUGGCAAGCGUUGUCCGGAUUUAUUGGGCGUAAAGCGAGCGCAGGCGGUUUCUUAAGUCUGAUGUGAAAGCGCCCGGCUCAACCGGGGAGGGUCAUUGGAAGCUGGGAGACUUGAGUGCAGAAGGGGAGAGUGGAAUUCCAUGUGUAGCGGUGAAAUGCGUAGAUAUAUGGAGGAACACCAGUGGCGAAGGCGGCUCUCUGGUCUGUAACUGACGCUGAGGCUCGAAAGCGUGGGGAGCAAACAGG
rnacentral:rRNA from 1 species